CAGCCCGGAGGCCUGUAUCCAGCCCGGAGACCUGUAGCCAGCCCUGCCCUGGGAACCCCUCUCUGGGCCUCCAGCAGUGGGGCCAGAGUGGAGGAGGGGAGGUCAUGCCCCUCCCUGAGGCAAGAGGUGAGUAGGCAGCCUCCAGAGGCGCUGCCCCGACCUUGGGCCUCAGCCUUGGCAGCUGGGGGGAUGGUCUGGUGAACUCUAGGCUGAGCCAGCCUGAGCUGAAUGGUGCCCUUUCCUGGAGGCAGGCAGGUGAGAUGCCAAGGCCUGUUACCUCUUUGAACCUAUUUCUCCAUCAUGAAAAUGGAGCAAAUAAACCUACCUACUUGUGG